GACGAACGCUGGCGGCGUGCUUAACACAUGCAAGUCGAACGGAAAGGCCUGCUUUCCCUUGUGGAUUGCGGGUACUCGAGUGGCGAACGGGUGAGUAACACGCGAGUGAUCUGCCCCCAACUUGGGUCUAAGCCUGGGAAACUGGGUCUAAUUCCCGAUAGGACUGCAGGGUGGUGCCUGUGGUGGCAAACGUUUUUCUAGUGGUUGGGGAUGAGCUGGAGGCCUAUCGGCUUGGUGGUGGGGUAAUGGACGACCACGGCGGCGACGCGUAGCCGGACUGGGAGGGGGGACGGCGACAUUGGGACUGGGACACGGCCCAGACGGCUACGGGAGGCAGCAGUGGGGAAGAAUGCGCAGUGGGCGGAAGGCUGAUGCAGCGAGGGAGCGUGGGGGAUGACGGGCUUCGGGUUGUAAGCUCCUUGCGAACGAGAGGAAGCCACCUGGUUGGAAGGGUGGUGACGGUAGUGGUAGAAGAAGCACCGGCUAACUACGUG
rnacentral:rRNA from 1 species